rnacentral:rRNA from 1 species
UACGGAGGGUGCAAGCGUUAAUCGGAAUUACUGGGCGUAAAGCGUGCGCAGGCGGUUUGUUAAGUCUGUUGUGAAAUCCCCGAGCUCAACUUGGGAAUUGCAAUGGAUACUGGCAGGCUGGAGUAUGGUAGAGGAAGGUGGAAUUCCCGGUGUAGCAGUGAAAUGCGUAGAUAUCGGGAGGAACACCUGUGGCGAAAGCGGCUCACUGGACCAUAACCGACGCUGAUGCACGAAAGCGUGGGGAGCAAACAGG